CGGGAGGUGGCGCAGUGGUUAAGGCACUGGACUCUCAAGCCUGAGGUUCCGAGUUCAAUCCCCGGCCACACGA
rnacentral:tRNA from 1 species